UAAAGAAAUUAUGUUAAUCCAAAUUAUACUUAAAGUCCAAGAAGCUAUUCACAGCAUUUUCAUGGGCCAAGCCUUGACUUAUUCCAGCCAAUGUUGUGUGCCAUGUCAACCAAUGGUGUGGCGUGAUUAUAUAUUGAAUAUCAUAUUUUUCGGAGCAGCAGUUUUAAGUCCCCUAUAUUUUUGCCUUAUACAUGAAUUUGUGGAUAAAUUAUGGAGUUGUACAUAUAAAACUAUAAAAUUUAAACAUUGAUACAUAUCAAUAAAAUACUCUUGCAAUGAAGUUUCGUUAGCAAAAUAAACAUGAAUUCAUAGAA
rnacentral:sRNA from 1 species